UCCCAGCCACGGAAAAAGGGGCAGAGCUCUGAGAGGCUGAGGUGGAAAGAGGCACACAGGAAAGAAGACGGCGCCGGGGGCACACCAGAGGGACCAGACCCCCACAGCUGAAUAUUGCCUAGAAGAGUCCAACUCUGCUCUGGCAUGUUACAGUUGAGGAAAGGAAUGGAGCAGGUUCUGGGAACUGUGGAAACUUGGACUGACUCUUGAGUUGGAAGCUAAGUAUCAAUUAAGAAAGGAAAUUGAUUAUUUACCUUCGGAAGCAAUUUUCCUCCUAGGGGGGCUGGUGGUAGCUGAAGACAGGUAACUCAUAUGUGGGGAUACAAUUGUGCUUCCUGGAAUAUCAGGGAUAUCUGUGAGAUUUGGAUGAUGUUGAUACUUUACAUUUGAAAUGGGAUCUGGAUGGGUUAAAGUCUGCAUCUGAUUACUUGUGGUAGAUGGAUAGUCUAAAUGCCCUUCAGGAUCAUAGGGUUGGGAUCUUGGCUUCUAAAGUGGGUUGCUGAGAGUAUGGAUUUGGGGAGAGCCUCUUCUUAUGGUUAGGCCUUCCCCCUCCCAGCUUUCUGGGCGCUCGUCAGGAAUUCCGCUAGUUCUGAACUAUUUACAGUUAGAAAAAGUUCACUACUAGCAGAACUCGGCCGCGUGCUCUUUACUCUUCGGGGGUCAAGGAGUCCAGAGAAGACUGGGAAGAGGCUGAGGGCAAGCCAAGAAACUGUAAGGGCUGGAAAGGGGUCACCCUUCUCCCAGACAAAGACACAUUAGCAACUUGUCCAUGCACAGGCUCCUUGUGAUUUGAAUUCAAGGCCCUUCCUGGACGGGUUGCUGCUUCUCCACACAGCCCAGCCCUCCUCCUGCAAAGCUGGAGAUAAAUACAGGUGCCAUCAUCGUUGUGGAAGUGCAGCUCUGAAUAACCAACCACCACAGUGCAUUCAAGACUUGCAUCUCCAUCUCAUUUAUUCGUGUAAUCGGGGGACGGCAUAGGAGCAGGUAGUUUAUUAACAUGAUGGGAAUUACAGAAAUAGGGUGAGGUCAAAAGGACUACUCUAUAUUUACAAAAUACAACAACCACUGCCCUGCAAAACCCACUGAGGGAUGUUGAAAGGGGCUGCACAGCAGAAAUGAGGUUAGUGGCCUAUUAUCAGCCCAGCUUAUCUGGCACAAGGGGGAGAUGAGGAGUAUACAAAUAAUGUGGGAAGUAGAAGGACCUGGAGCCAUGCACGUUUACUGGCAACUCUCUUUGCAAUAGCUUUUGAGAGGAUAUAUGGAGAUAAUUUCACCCCUCAAGCUCUUGAGAUUGCAUCCUAGCUUAUUCCACAGUGAGUGCACUUUCUUCCCUUACACUGACCUUUUCCCAUUUCUUAUUUUUCCAUGACACUGGCAGGUGGGAGUAAGUUGGAAAGGGAAAACCGCAAGACAACCUUCCUGAGAAGUUCAAAUGACCGAAGCCGUCAUCAAAAAUGCCUGCAGUGAUACAAACAAGGAAGGCUGGACCAGCCAGAUCCCACUUCCAUGUGUCAAGGGACAUGGCUGCACCCAAGAAAUAUGCUUCUUGAAUUUCCAACUAUUGUGUUUCCAGUGUGUGGGUGAUUAUUUCACUCACCUUAGUGGGGCCUGAAGAUGUAGUCCACGAAUACAACUGUUCAUAGUAGAAUGUUAAGCACAAAGGCUUGUGGAGCAAUGCAUAGUGGGCUAUGUAGUGGGAGUGGUCUGUGCAGUAGCCAAAUGCCUGCUAGGAAAAACAGAUCUGAAACAGGCUACCUGCAGGAAUAACACACACACCAGGAGCUUCCUGCUGUGCAGGGCAAGGGGUGGUGCUGUAUGCAGAAGUAGAGUUCCCAGAGGUAGAGCUCCUGGUUAUGCUGGGGAAACCUGGCUGGAGGACACCGAGGAGACCUGGGUGGCUUGUGAAGAACCUGAAACAUCGUCCUCAUCGCCAAAGGGACUUUUGCCACAGAAGAUGAGCUUCAGCAUGCAGGAGCGGAACUGCAAGGAAAAGAGGAUUAAUCAAUAGGGAUUCCACAGUCCAAUAUAACAUGAGGGAGGGAUACCAUCAUUUCCAGAGUCCUCAUUUUUGCAGUGGAAUCUCCAGUGGGAAACACCUGGGUUUUAUUUUUAUUUUUGUAAAAUGAUUUUUAUUAUUAUGAACAAAGUAAAAAAGAGAUAAAAAUAAAGUAUAGAAGAGAGAACAUUUAAAGUGGGGGAACAUUGUAAUUGAAGAAAAGUAGGAAAUUGCAAAAAAAGAAAAUAAAGGAGGGGAAAAAGAGUGAAGAAAAAAAAGGGAAAAAAGUUUUUGAAUGGCUUCCGUUCUUCUUUCUUACGUUCAAGUCUGUCAGUUUUCCUAUUCUAUCAAAUGGGCACCUGGAUGUUUUUCAAGAUUCAGUAAACCUUUCCUGUAUCAACUUAUCUGCCACUGCAUAGUGCAAAAAGAUAUGAUGUGGUUGCCACGCCUCUGUUGUCUGUGUAAAAGAACAACCUAGGAAACUCAUUACAUUCUCCUGUGUUGGCCUGAUUAUAUGUGUGUGUGUAUACACUGAAGUUAUCUGUCAACUUAUGGUGAUCCCAUACAUUCUUUAGGGGUUGCUUAGGCAAGGAAUACUCAGAGGUGAUUUUGUCAAUUGCCUCCUUUGAAAUACAACCUACAGCACCUGGUAUUUUGUUGGUCUGUCAUCCAAGAACUCACCCGCGUUGAUCCUGUUUCACUUCGAAGAUUAAAUGGAAUCUGGUGUCACUGGA